GGGUUGGAUGUAAAAAGCGUAACAAGGUCUCCGUUGGUGAACCAGCGGAGGGAUCAUUACCGAGUUUACAACUCCCAAACCCCUGUGAACAUACCAAUUGUUGCCUCGGCGGAUCAGCCCGCUCCCGGUAAAACGGGACGGCCCGCCAGAGGACCCCUAAACUCUGUUUCUAUAUGUAACUUCUGAGUAAAACCAUAAAUAAAUCAAAACUUUCAACAACGGAUCUCUUGGUUCUGGCAUCGAUGAAGAACGCAGCAAAAUGCGAUAAGUAAUGUGAAUUGCAGAAUUCAGUGAAUCAUCGAAUCUUUGAACGCACAUUGCGCCCGCCAGUAUUCUGGCGGGCAUGCCUGUUCGAGCGUCAUUUCAACCCUCAAGCCCCCGGGUUUGGUGUUGGGGAUCGGCGAGCCCUUGCGGCAAGCCGGCCCCGAAAUCUAGUGGCGGUCUCGCUGCAGCUUCCAUUGCGUAGUAGUAAAACCCUCGCAACUGGUACGCGGCGCGGCCAAGCCGUUAAACCCCCAACUUCUGAAUGUUGACCUCGGAUCAGGUAGGAAUACCCGCUGAACUUAAGCAUAUCAAAAA
rnacentral:rRNA from 1 species